rnacentral:lncRNA from 1 species
AAUACAGUCUAUCCUUUAACAACUGUGCAGAGAGGACUUGAGGGGACAGUCAACUUAUAGGGUUUAAUAUAUAUACACAGGUCAAAUGACAUCACUGUAUUGUCACAUUUUUGAUCACUAAUAAUUUACAUUUGUUUCUUAAUAUUACAGGAGACGUUUAAAAAUCUAUUGCCAUUGAGGAAAUAUCCUUUUCUUGUGAAUAUGCCCAUUUUGCUGCCUUUAAAUUAUUAAAACAAAACUCAUCAGGAACAAAAUGGACUCAUGAAUACCUAUAGUCAGUUUCUCCUAUUGAUCUGUGUUUGCUGAAAAGUUCCACUAUCAACUCCAUGCUGAAAUAUCUUUCUUGUCACCAUGACGAGCUACCAAUAUUGCAUAAUACAGAGUAAACUACCUUAUAAAGAUCCCAAAAUCUAUCCUACUCACUAGAUCUUUUACAAAUGUAAGGAUAUAUCUUCUAUUCGUGUGUGCCAUGCUAAGACAUUUUGCUUAUUUGUAUGUGAAAAUAUUUGAAUAUACUAAUUACCCUAUCCAAACAUUACCAUAUUUCAAAUGAUUACCAAUUCCUGCAUAUGAUAUCUUUCACAUGUAAGAAUGUGAGAACAUAUACUUGCAGUAGAUGUUAAGAAACAGAUAUUGCCACAAAAGUUAGUGAGUGUAGGAAUGACAUUAUUUGAUAGUUGAUAAUCUAGCUUUACUUAAUAUACAAUUCAUAUUAAACAGAAUAUACAUCCUACAAAAUGCCCUAAGAA